UACAGAGACUGCAAGCGUUAUUCGGAUUCACUGGGCGUAAAGGGUGCGCAGGCGGCCGAGUGUGUGAGGCGUGAAAGCCCGGGGCUUAACCCCGGAAUUGCACCUCAAACUACACGGCUAGAGCAUUGGAGAGGGUAGCAGAAUUCAUGGUGUAGCAGUGAAAUGCGUAGAUAUCAUGAGGAAUACCAGAGGCGAAAGGCGGCUACCUGGACAAUUGCUGACGCUCAGGCACGAAAGCGUGGGGAGCAAAAGGG
rnacentral:rRNA from 1 species